GAGACUAUUUAAAAAUGACAAAUUCUUUACAAUUUGGCAACACCCAUCAAUCGCCGGGUCGCCUGUUCAUUCUUUAUUCUCUCGUAGUAGAGCCAUAGUAGAGUAAAGCACGUGUCGUAAAACCUUGUUGUCACAGUUUCUCCAUGGCUAUUUUAUUGUUUUUAUUGGAUGUUUUGAUUUUGUAUUUUUUGGAUUCGAUUUUCUUAGUGUGUAGUGUCGGUUUAGUGUUUAUUUUGAUUACUUUUUAUUUAAAAACUAUAAAACAUGGUUCGUCAGUGCCAAAUUUGUAAGAAAUUGGACUAUUUAAGUCCUGGAACAACAUUCCACAGAUUAUGCUGCCAAAGUUUCCUGAAUACAAUUCCGACCACUCUGUAUAUCAAGAUAUCCCCCAUUACGUACUAGUUUUUCUUAAUAAUUUUCUAUACAUUUUCCAACGCCAAGAUGUACCAAGCGCAUACAAAUACAUCAAGCUUCAAACAAGCUUGCACGUUGACAGUAAUACCUACAGUAAUAUUGUAUUAUAUUAAUGUAAUAUUUUUGAACCAAUGUUCAAUAUUACUGUAGUAAUACUGUUUAUACUCAUGCCUUUUAUAUUUGUUUGAAUUUGGUGCAUAUUUCCAUUGAAUAAAGUAUAGUCACCAUUACCAUUAUUAUACUUACUCUAUAAUAAAGACAGUAACGAGUUAAA
rnacentral:lncRNA from 1 species